rnacentral:lncRNA from 1 species
UGUGUGUGUUCUGGUCGUGAUUUACACAUGAGCCACAAAGGAUUCUUGAUCAAAACCCUAAAUCACAAGAAAUUCAGCCAAAUCAAGGGAAAUCAAGCUAGGAAAUUGGGGCUUUUAAUAAAUUAGUGAUCACCAAGCCUAGGGGAUCACAAGUUUGACGCCUAACGAGCUAGAUGGAAGCUUGUGGAUGAAGCGGGUCAAAUGGAGCAAGUACGGAAAGAAAAGCGUGGCAUGGAUGCAAGGAUGAACGGCUCGGGAAUUAGCGAAGCUAUGAAAUAGCAAAUAAAUGAAGACAAGGUAUUACAAUGGGUCAAUAUGUUGAUCCGAGCCAGGUAAACUUUAGUAAGCUUACGGAUGAAGAUCAAGCUUGUUGAAGGACCGAACACAAUGCAGUUACAAGCUUCCGCACAUAGUUUAGUCGUUAUUUCUAAACGGCAAAUUUUUACCAAUCAUGAUGUAACGUUAUAAAAUUUAGAAAAGUUUUAAUUAACUUGUAUUAUUAAUUGAUAUGUAAUCAUAAGUACAUGUUUAUUUUCGUAAAUUAUACUAAAACAUUAAAAUAAUAGCAAGGGUGUUACAUUACGCCUUUAGACAACUUA